UACAGAGGUCUCAAGCGUUGUUCGGAUUCAUUGGGCGUAAAGGGUGUGUAGGUGGCGCGCUAAGUCGGGUGUGAAAUUUCGGAGCUUAACUCCGAAACUGCAUUCGAUACUGCCGUGCUUGAGGACUGGAGAGGAGACUGGAAUUUACGGUGUAGCGGUGAAAUGCGUAGAUAUCGUAAGGAAGACCAGUGGCGAAGGCGGGUCUCUGGACAGUUCCUGACACUGAGGCACGAAGGCCAGGGGAGCAAACGGG
rnacentral:rRNA from 1 species